rnacentral:misc_RNA from 1 species
UAGAAAAAACCCAGCCCUUAUCU